CCCGCGGCCUAUCAGCUUGUUGGUGGGGUGAUGGCCUACCAAGGCGACGACGGGUAGCCGGCCUGAGAGGGCGACCGGCCACACUGGGACUGAGACACGGCCCAGACUCCUACGGGAGGCAGCAGUGGGGAAUAUUGCGCAAUGGGCGGAAGCCUGACGCAGCGACGCCGCGUGGGGGAUGACGGCCUUCGGGUUGUAAACCUCUUUCGACAGGGACGAAGCGUGAGUGACGGUACCUGUAGAAGAAGCACCGGCCAACUACGUGCCAGCAGCCGCGGUAAUACGUAGGGUGCGAGCGUUGUCCGGAAUUAUUGGGCGUAAAGAGCUCGUAGGCGGUGUGUCACGUCGAUCGUGAAAACUUUCAGCUUAACUGGGAGCUUGCGGUCGAUACGGGCAUCACUGGAGUUCGGCAGGGGAGACUGGAAUUCAAGGUGUAGCGGUGAAAUGCGCAGAUAUCUUGAGGAACACCGGUGGCGAAGGCGGGUCUCUGGGCCGAUACUGACGCUGAGGAGCGAAAGCGUGGGGAGCGAACAGGAUUAGAUACCCUGGUAGUCCACGCCGUAAACGGUGGGCGCUAGGUGUGGGGGCCAUUC
rnacentral:rRNA from 1 species